rnacentral:rRNA from 1 species
GUGAGGAAUAUUGGGCAAUGGGCGAAAGCCUGACCCAGCAACGCCGCGUGGGUGAUGAAGCUCUGAGGAGUGUAAAACCCUGUUAGGAGGGAAGAAACUUCCGAUUUAUCGGAAUUGACGGUACCUCCAGAGAAAGCUCCGGCCAACUCCGUGCCAGCAGCCGCGGUAAUACGGGGGGAGCAAGCGUUGUCCGGAUUUACUGGGCGUAAAGAGCGUGUAGGCGGGACAAAAAGUCAGUUGUGAAAUCUCUCGGCUUAACCGAGAACGUGCGUCUGAUACUAUUGUCCUUGAGUUCGGAAGAGGGAAGUGGAAUUCCUGGUGUAGCGGUGAAAUGCGUAGAUAUCAGGAAGAACACCAGUAGCGAAGGCGGCUUCCUGGUCCGUAACUGACGCUGAGACGCGAAAGCGUGGGGAGCAAACAGGAUUAGAAACCCUUGUAGUCC